ACUUCAAAAGGUUUUCAAUGGCGAAGUUGAUUGUGCUGUUUGCUCUGUGUGUGCUUCCGGCUCUGGCCGUCGCCACGCGUCCCAUGAGGACCCCAUUCACGGUGGAAGGAAAGGUCUUCUGUGACCCUUGCCGUGCUGGGUUUGAGACCUCAGCCACCACCUACAUUCCCGGUAAGCAUUUUUACUCCAGUUUUGUUUUUCCAUUUUGGAUUUUGGUUAUGUGUUAUGUGGGUUUUUUUUGUUGAUGGUUUAGAAUUUCGAUCUAACUCGCUAGAUCUGGAAGGGUUCUUUGUUUGCUUUGUAAUUUGAAGUGAAAGAUGGGUUUUGUACUUUCAGAUCUUACUGGGUUUGGACCUGUUGGACUGUAGGUGGUCAAAAUGUUGACGACUUAGGAUUCUUGUGUGCAGAUAAAUAAAGAACCUUUCUCAGAAAAAAAUAUUGAAAAUUAAGACCCAAGAAAUUGUUUUGAGAAAAAAGAAUUCUUGUAAGUAAGCCCAAGCAUUGUGGGAGUGUACAUACUAGCAUACAAUUUGAGAAUGCUAAGGACAUCAAAACAAAUGGCUACAGUGUUUCAUCAUAUCUAGGUUCACUCUCAACUGCAUUUAUGUCUAACACAUUGUUAUGACAUCGAUUCAUGACUAAAAUUGGGGAAAGGUGUGGUGACUCGAUGGUUAUUGAUACAAUUUUAUUCUCCUAUUUGACAUAGGUAGUGGCAAAUUGACAACUAGUUUUGGAUAUCAAUUUAGGGUGCAUAGCUGCUUUAGUAUUGUCUUGGGAUUGGUUGUAUUUAUCCUCAGUGUUAUUGAUUAUUUGAAGUGAUAUUUGAUAAGGAAUAGGAAGAAACUGCUAUGAAUCUAUGAUUUGUACAUUUCCGUUGACAAGUUUUAUUUGGUGAUGUUCGUAUCAGGUGCCACUGUUAGACUAGAAUGCAGAGACAGGAAGACCAUGGAUAUCCGAUACACCAAAGAAGGGAGAACUGACUCAACAGGAACCUACAAGAUCCCUGUCACAGAGGACCAUGAGGACCAGUUUUGUGAUGCUGUCCUUGUUAGCAGCUCUCAGAAGGACUGUGCGGCAGCUGCCCCAGGGCGUGACCGUGCACGUGUCAUCCUCACC
rnacentral:lncRNA from 1 species